CAACGAGAGUUAGAAGCUUCCAAAGAUUUCUAAGGGUCACCUCCUUUAUAAAAGGCUGACUUGACUACUUGAAAGAGACCACUGUAGAAGGUCUCCUCAUGUGGAUGAGAUACAGUAUCUAGCGCUGACAUGAGCUGCAUAUUUGAAUGCAACAUACAUAUAAAUGUUAACCAGCUUCCCAAAUCAAAAGUUGAAAACUGGUUUCCCACAGGUCAGAAAGAGCCUGCAGAGAAUUAGUUACCAACAGAUAAAAAUCCAGAUUUUCCAUUUUUUCUGGAACAAAGGGACGCUCUGGCAAUACUGAGUCUACAUCUCUGCAUAGUAAGUUUUCUACUGCCUUUGGUGUGGAUGUGGAGUCUCCCUAUUGUCACACCUCGUCAUGGUCCUCUUCAGUCAUAAUGGCACCUGCUUGGAUCGUGUGAAUGCUCCAGUUUUCGAGCCUUGAUGUAACUGUUUCUGUGACAACCCACACAAGGCCUGUGUGUGAGCACCCAUCUUGAGGAUCCACCAGUGUGGGUUUCCCUGAGCGACCUCUGUUCUUGGGACCCCUUUGCAGAUCUUCAGGCAUCUAUUCUCCCAAAUGACCUUAAAUAUCUGAUGUUGGAAAAGGCAGCAAAGAAUCCCCAUUUAGGAUCUUCUAAAAUGGGGGGAAGAAAAGACAACUAUGCAUCUGAACAGAGAACCAUUUCUGCUGGACUCCUUGGAAGACAAUUGCUGAGAAAAGCUUCCCUGGAGGAUUAUUUAUCUAUUUUCUAGGAGUAGCUGUGGAUUGCUGGGCACUAGUUGGUCAUGAUGAUUCCCCUACGUUGGUCUUCUGCACAUGUCUGAUCCCAUCUGGGUGUUACUGCUCACAUAAUUCUAUCCCUGAAUUAUAGCACACAAUGUAUUAUCAGACCUUUCACUUCACUCUUUACUUUGUGGGGUCCAUUCCCUACAAAGCAGCCACGUUUCCUUGCUUAAAUCUCUUUGAUGCCUUCCAGGCUGCUUUUAGGCUAAACUUUAAGAUUGGUGGAGAAGUCUGCAAAUCCUUGUGGUGUGAUUCUUCCUUAACUCCCGGCCUCCACCUCCCAUUGCAUUUUCCUUAGCUCACUUCACUUGGACCGUUUAGGUCUUUGAAUUUGUGAAAGAGGCCAAGCUCUUUGCCACCUCAGGCCCUUGACCCUUGCUGUUCCCCCUUCUGGACGGCUCCCCUUCCUCCUCACCCUUUCCCCUAUCUUCUACUUCACCUUUAAAAUGUCACUUUGUCGAGAAGCCUUCCCUAUAUUCUACUUCCCUCACAUUCUCCCACCCUCAUCUCUGUAUCUUGUAGCCUGUUGCUCUCUUCUAAUGCUUUUAACACAAUUUAUAUGUUCCCAUUAAACUGUGAACUCUUGAGAGCAGGGACCUUCUGUAUUUUGUGCCCAAAGACUAUUCAGAGGCAGCAGGAUCCCUGCCAUAAUGGAGGAUGUGAGCGAUACUUAACAUGUCAAACGGAUGAAAAACCCACUUUCCAUCCCACUGCCCAGUCUAACAACUUACCAUUGUGCAUAAGACAUCCUUUCUUAGGGAAAAUAUUUUUAUUUCAGCCAUAUAAGCAAAUGGAAGAUUUAUCAGAAGACAAGCCUGGUGGAAAGCUGUUAAACUUCUAGGUUCCCCAGGUGGGGUCCCAGACCAUCACCUGAGAACGUCUUGGAAAUGCAAGUUACCAGGCCCUUCUCCUACACAAAAACUCUGCGGAUGCGGCCCAGCAAUCAAGGUGCAAAAGCCUAGAAACCGGCAGGAAGGCGGAGCAGCCGGCUGCAAGCCUUUGUUCGCCCCAACCCUCCCGACCGCUCGCCCUCCGUCUGCCCGCGCGCUCCUCCACCCAGAAAAGCAGCGUCUCCAAGCGACGAGAAUGUGUCGUGCCGCUCAGGACGUUUUCUACUGGGCCAGUCUUCCCCGGGGCCCCGGAGAAGACGCGGGGGGCUGCGGGGGGCUGCGGGGGCAGGCGCCGGGCGGCGAGCGCAGG